rnacentral:rRNA from 1 species
CCUACGGGAGGCAGCAGUAGGGAAUUUUGCGCAAUGGGCGAGAGCCUGACGCAGCAACGCCGCGUGAGUGAUGAAGGCCUUCGGGUCGUAAAGCUCUGUCAGAGGGAAAGAACAACUUGGCGGUUAAUAACCGCCAGGCCUGACGGUACCCUCAAAGGAAGCACCGGCUAACUCCGUGCCAGCAGCCGCGGUAAU